UAGGGAAUAUUGGACAAUGGGUGAGAGCCUGAUCCAGCCAUGCCGCGUGCAGGAAGAAGGCGUUAUGCGUUGUAAACUGCUUUUUGCCAGGGGAUAAAAAGACCGUGCGCGGUUAAUUGAAGGUACCUGGUGAAUAAGCCACGGCUAACUACGUGCCAGCAGCCGCGGUAAUACGUAGGUGGCAAGCGUUGUCCGGAUUUAUUGGGUUUAAAGGGUGCGUAGGUGGCCCUGUAAGUCAGUGGUGAAAUAUCUCAGCUUAACUGAGAGGGUGCCAUUGAUACUGCAGGGCUUGAGUGCAGAAGGGGCAAUCGGAAUUCUUGGUGUAGCGGUGAAAUGCGUAGAUAUCAAGAGGAACACCUGAGGUGAAGACGGGUUGCUGGGCUGACACUGACGCUGAGGCGCGAAAGCCAGGGGAGCAAACGGGAUUAGAUACCCAGGUAGUCCCUGAGCGGGCUGGCAAGGCGCAU
rnacentral:rRNA from 1 species